UAACCUGCCUCUUAGCGGGGGAUAACUAUUGGAAACGAUAGCUAAUACCGCAUAAAAGUCGAUAUCGCAUGAUGUUGAUUUGAAAGGUGCAAUUGCAUCACUAAGAGAUGGACCUGCGUUGUAUUAGCUAGUUGGUGAGGUAACGGCUCACCAAGGCGACGAUACAUAGCCGACCUGAGAGGGUGAUCGGCCACACUGGGACUGAGACACGGCCCAG
rnacentral:rRNA from 1 species